rnacentral:rRNA from 1 species
ACUCAAAUGAAUUGACGGGGACCCGCACAAGCAGUGGAGCAUGUGGUUUAAUUCGACGCAACGCGAAAAACCUUACCAAGACUUGACAUAUAAAUGCAUAGUUAUGAAAGUAAUGAAUUUCUAGUAAUAGAACAUUUAAACAGAUGGUGCAUGGUUGUCGUCAGCUCGUGUCGUGAGAUGUUGGGUUAAGUCCCGCAACGAGCGCAACCCUUGUCUUUAGUUGCCAGCAUUCAGUUGGGCACUCUAGAGAGACUGCCGUAGAUAAUACGGAGGAAGGUGGGGAUGACGUCAAAUCAUCAUGCCUCUUACGUCUUGGGCUACACACGUGCUACAAUGGGGAGUACAAAGAGAUGCAAAAUAGUAAUAUCGAGCGAAACUCAAAAAACUCUCCUCAAUUCGGAUUGAGGGCUGCAACCCGCCCUCAUGAAGUCGGAAUUGCUAGUAAUCCCGGAUCAGCACGCCGGGGUGAAUACGUUCUCGGGUCUUGUACACACCGCCCGU